AAUGCCUCCGAUGCCUCCAUUUGGUAUGCCACCCAUGGGUCCCUACUAAUUUAAUGUUACUUCAGAUAGUGGUGUAAGCAAGAGAGAAGCACACAAAUGGGUCCUCUUUUUUGUUAAGAGUUGGGGCUUUUUUGCAAUUGAUUGCUGACGGAGGCUAAGAUAAAAUGACCAUUCUGUUGUGUCAUAGGGUGCUGACAUCUCCUUUGUAAUAUUCAUUUAGAAGAGGCAAUUUUUUGCAGCUAGGCAGCACAUUGAGAAUGUUACAAUUAUCUAAAACCAUGUAGAGAUGCAUUAUUAUAUAGUAUUUUGUGCUACUUUCUAGGUUGUCAAGGAUUAAUUGUCCUAAGUUCUGUAAGUA
rnacentral:misc_RNA from 1 species